CAGUAGCCACGGGAAUACGUAGGUGGCAAGCGUUGUCCGGAAUUAUUGGGCGUAAAGGGCUCGCAGGCGGUUUCUUAAGUCUGAUGUGAAAGCCCCCGGCUCAACCGGGGAGGGUCAUUGGAAACUGGGAAACUUGAGUGCAGAAGAGGAGAGUGGAAUUCCACGUGUAGCGGUGAAAUGCGUAGAGAUGUGGAGGAACACCAGUGGCGAAGGCGACUCUCUGGUCUGUAACUGACGCUGAGGAGCGAGAGCGUGGGGAGCGAACAGGAUUAGAUACCCGCGUAGUCCCUGUCUCUUAUAC
rnacentral:rRNA from 1 species